UUCCAAGCAAAGUGGGGACAGUCUAGAC
rnacentral:piRNA from 1 species